UCCGUGGACAGGAAGUUUUAGUCAAAAAAUUUAACUGUUCCCCAACAUCCACUAUCCUUCAGGGAUUUAUGGAUCUUGCAGUGCUUGAGCACAAAAAUGUAGUUAGAUGCAAAGGAUACUGCAUUGAAGAAAAGGCUAUUUUGGUCUAUGAAGACAUGCCAAAUCGAAGAUUGGACACAUUCAUCAAUUACUUUCACUUGCUUCCAAGAAAUACAAGAGUGGAAUUAUCACUCUACUGGUCUUCAUGCUUCCAAGUAAUUAAAGGGAUAGCCAAGGGUGUCUCAUAUAUACAUGAGAAGUUCAUGCCAUGGGGAGAUCCUUUCAGUGGGGGUCUAAAACCAAGCGACAUCCUCAUGGAUUCUGAUUGGAAUCCUAAGAUAAUCACUAUCGGAAUCUCUAGAGUAAUAGAGAAAUCUGCUGAGGCAAGAGCGGUGCAAGAAUUAGUCCCAAUGUAAGAUAGUAUCACAUAUACUUGACCAUCCAUGCUUGCACGUAUUUACGAGAUGUUCAGUUUUGCUUUGACUAGCAUGUUUUCUUUAUAAUGCAUUGGUUUUUCAGGGGUUAUAGAGCUCACGGAUAUGUUGUUUCGGGUGAGGCAUCCGUGGACAGUGAUGUGUACAGCUGCGGCCUUAUAGUUCUUGAGAUUAUUACAGGAUCGAGCUUCUCUCAAGAGGGACAGAGAACCGAUUUCAAAUCAUUAAUUGACCAUGCUUGGGUUUGGUAUAAAACGCUCAAGGAAAAGGAACUUGAAGACCCAAUAUUGUCCUGUUAUUUAAGACGGAUACGAAGCUGCAUCAAAUUAGCAACGUAUUGCAUCAAAGAAAAUCCAGGAGACCACCCCACCAUGGAGGUAGUUCUUGAUUUUGUAAAUGAUAGAAUUGUCCAGGAACCCGCUCCAACGUGACCCGGAAUAUUACACGAAACCAUCGGCCUACUGUGUGGUAUGAAGGAGUACAUAUUGAACCCAUUCACUGCGGAAGGCAGAAUGAGAUGCUGUCUUUAUUGUGGUGUUGUAGUAUAUUAUUGAUUUUUGCAUGGCAUCAGUGCUUAUAGCUAGAUCACUGUGUGCACAAAGUAUGAAUUUAGAAUG